rnacentral:lncRNA from 1 species
AUGAGCUGCGGGCCAGCAAUGGGUGACCACGGCUCUCUUGACCAUGGCCUCAGUCAGGUGGGCUCACCAGGGCCUAAAUUCACUCCCCGUCCCCCUCACUCUCCCCAGCAGGUGCAGGGCUGGUUGGUGAAGAGGCUCACCCUCUCCUCCGUCCUCAGCCCCAACGCUCCCCAAACCUGUGCAUUAGAGCUGUGCUGGAGUUCUUCACGUCUCUACCAGGCCAGGUGGUCACUGCUAAACUCGCCUUGGAGAGAGGAAGCCUGGAUUAUCUGUCAGGUCCAGGGGGACGAUGCUCCAUUGGGCCCCCAGCUUCAUGGGGCUGCUACCUUGGUCUGGAGACCCUCCGUGUGUGAGGAGUUUGCACCCUUCAGAGUUUCAGCUGGAAAGUGGAUCUAUCGUCUUGGUGCUUCAGAGGAAACUUCUACAAUAUUCAGAUGGACGGGGCUCUCAGCCCCUCGACCACAAGGCUGUUCCAGCCUGAGCAGGUCAGUUCUGGGCAGUCUGGGAGCGGGAGGAGGGGUCCGCAGAACUCUUCCUGUCCCCGCUUUCUGCCUUCGCUUCUCAGGGGUACCCUGCCCUGGAAUGAAUGAGCUCCGCAAAUACUCAUCUCUGGGCAGCUGCCAAGUCUGGCCCCACUCCAGAGGACCGAGUGCUUGCAUCUGUCCCACUUCCCUUGGCAUGAAGGCCCCUGGCUGUCAGGGUGGGGCAGAGCUCCAGAGCCAGCCUUGGUGCUGGGACCCGGCCGAGCGAGGAGCUGCGGUGCCCAGGCCACAUGGCGUUCCCUGGUGA